AGGCCAUCUGUAGACCUAGUAAUGUUUUAUGUUAUUAAGGUUUCAUAUUCAUCAGGUUCACUACUUCUUUUACUAAGAGAGCUGUUGUGUUUCCAGAUAAAUCCAGUGAGAGAGAGAGAUCCACCAGUGGAAAGGACAGCACACCUCCAGCUCAAGAUAAAUCCAGUGAGAGAGAGAGAUCCACCAGUGGAAAGCACAGCACACCUCCAGCUCAAGGUUCUUCACAAAGGAGAAGAAAGUGGUCGGAGGAGGAGGUCCAGGCAGUGGAGAAGACGCUGAAUAGCUUCAUAAGGUCCAG